GUGAGGAAUAUUCCGCAAUGGGGGAAACCCUGACGGAGCAAUGCCGCGUGCAGGAUGAAGGCCCUCGGGUCGUAAACUGCUUUUAUAUGAGAAGAAUAUGACGGUAACAUAUGAAUAAGGGACGGCUAACUACGUGCCAGCAGCCGCGGUCAUACGUAGGUCCCAAGCGUUAUCCGGAGUGACUGGGCGUAAAGAGUUGCGUAGGCGGCUCGUUAAGCGUGAAAUGAAAUUUAUCGGGUCAACCGGUGAACUAUUUCGCGAACUGACGGGCUCGAGAGUAUGAGAGGUUACUGGAAUUUCUAGUGUAGCAGUGAAAUGCGUAGAUAUUAGAAAGAACACCAACGGCGUAGGCAGGUAACUGGCAUACAUCUGACGCUGAGGCACGAAAGCGUGGGGAGCGAACCGGAUUAGAAACCCCGGUAGUCC
rnacentral:rRNA from 1 species